UUGCAGGACCUACAUUGUCACAGGAUCCACA
rnacentral:piRNA from 1 species